ensembl:lncRNA
GCACGGACCUUCGGUGCAACGAUCGCAUGUCUCUGUGUGUGUGUGUUUAGGAAGCUAGCUCAGAGUGGCAUUGUGUGUGUGUGCCCCCCCCUCUCGUGACGGUGCAAGCAAGCCUGUCAACCAGCCCCGAACAGCAACAAGCACAUGGCAGCUUUGCAGAAAAGCACUGCCUCCCUUCUUCCUUCAGGCAUUCCAGUUGCACUUUGUCUCGCCCAGGAUCGGAGCGGCGGGCGAAGGACCAUGUGGUGAAAAGGGAGCCUGGAUUCGUGGACGCGGCGUGACUCUCGUCGACUCCACGCGCGCUUGCCCGGAGAGACAUCGCGCGCCUCCAAGACGGGGCGCGGGGCGGGGGGGGGCGCGCGCAGAUCAAGCUCCAAGUUGGCGGAAGGCAGGAGAGACGGCCGAGCGUCGCCGCAGCAGCAGCAGCAGCCUCGCUUCGCAAAUACUGCCCGCUUCCCCGCCUCCUCCUCGCUCGCUCCCUCGCUGGCCAAGCCCGUCGUCAUAUUUCGAGGGGCGCUCCUUCCAGGCCGUGUGGAUGAGGCGGGCGAUUGAAUUGCUCUUGGAUCGAGCGCGGCACAGUUCUGCAGAACCAGCUCGAUCGCCUUUACCUGCGUUCCUUCGUCGCUGAACGCGUCGCCGCGCUUCGGAGGAAAUUCCGUUCCUUUUAGGAACAAACCGCGGGAAGGGAGAGGGAGCGCGCAGUCCGCCCGUUUCCCCCCCUUGAAUGGUUGUGCUUCGGAAGAAGAGGGGUUUGGGGGCCAGGCACCUUGGCUUUCCUCCUGCUGGAGGAACCCGCGGUUGCGAUCGCUGUGUGCGCCUCGGAGGAAGAGAGGGCGAAGCAGAAGAUCGUGGCCUCGCAGACGCGACCGGAGCUGCCGAGCAAGGAAGAGGUUGGGGAGGGGGAACUCGUCCACCCCUCCCGCUUGAGAAAUGAGUCCUCCGGUAUCUUAAGCCUGCCUUCUCAGCCUCACGCUACCCUAUGGAUCUAACUUAGAGGGCUGGUGCUUUCACGCGGAGUUUCCAUUCCAAUAUGUAAGUUUGCCUCCUUCCCCUGCUGCCUCUCUCCUCGCCCCCCCCCCCGCUCUCGCUCGCAAUAUGGAUUCUCGCCGCCUUGUUUUGCACGUGUGGCGCUCCCGUCCUUAGCAGGUGCCCUUGCCUUUUCCUUCCCUUGCAGUGGCGUGGGCCCCGUGGGGGGAGCUGAGGCUGGAGAGGCCCCAGGCGGUUACCACAGGGACACGUACGACUUCGCGGGGGUUGUACCGAAGCCUGUCUUGUGUUACCCUCGAGAUUUGUAGAUCUCUGGACUGCUUACUGAGAGUAAGGAAUAGGCUUGGGUGAAGAGGGUGCGACAGCUGGAUUUGGGAAAUUGAGACCAGAUCGACAUUUGCUGCCAGGUGCCUUUGUUAUGCUCUUACUCAGAAAUGCUUGGAUUAAAUUUUGAGACCCUCGUGUUGUCUACUCUUCUCUCUCACUAAACUACGUCAGCGUGGAUUUACUUUAAACUGGGACAUAGGGAGUAUUGUGAUUAAAACUUUUGGGGUUACUUGACUGUUUAUACUGGUAAGGUCCUGCUGAUGUAAGUGAUCAGUUUGUGUGGCUUGCUUCUUUUUUGAAUUACAUAAUAACAG